UACGGGGGGGGCAAGCGUUGUUCGGAAUUACUGGGCGUAAAGGGCGCGUAGGCGGCUCGUCAAGUCGGGCGUGAAAUCUCCGGGCUUAACCCGGAAAAGUCGUUCGAUACUGUUGAGCUAGAGUGUGGAAGAGGCUACUGGAAUUCCGUGUGUAGCGGUGAAAUGCGUAGAUAUCUGGAGGAACACCGGUGGCGAAGGCGGCAUCCUGGACCGGUAUUGACGCUGAGGCGCGAAAGCCAGGGGAGCAAACGGG
rnacentral:rRNA from 1 species